rnacentral:lncRNA from 1 species
ACUUAAGCAACGUGAAAUAAGAGUCUUGCUGAAGUGAACCAAAUUCCCAGGCCGCUAAGCCACAUUCCUUCACUGUCUAAUACUCUUUUACUCUUUUACUUGUUUCAGUCAUUUGACUGCGGCCAUGCUGGAGCACCGCCUUUAAUCGAGCAACUCGACCCUGGGACUUAUUCUUUGUAAGCCCAGUACUUAUUCUAUCGGUCUCUUUUUGCCGAACCGCUAAGUGACAGGGACAUAAACAGACCAGCAUCGGUUGUCAAGCAAUGAUAGGGGGGACAAACACAGACACAUAAACACACACACACAUACAUAUAUAUAUAUAUAUAUACGACGGGCUUCUUUCAGUUUCCGUCUACCAAAUCCACUCACAAGGCUUUGGUCAGCCCGAGCUAUAGUAGAAGACACUUGCCCAAGGUACCACGCAGUGGGACUGAACCCGGAACCAUGUGGCUGGUAAACAAGCUACUUACCACACAGCCACUCUUAUAUAUAUAUAUAUACACAACAUAUAAUAUAUAUAUAUAUAUACACACAAACAUACACAUAUCUGCGUAUGCGUUUGUGUGUGUGUGUAUGUGAAUAUGUGUGUGUGAGUAUGUUUGUCUGUGCAUGUGUGUGUGUACGUAUGUGUGUGAGUAUGUAUGUGUAUGUGAGCCAAAUUCCCGGGCCACUAAGCCACGCUCCAUCACUAAUAUAUAUACAUAUAUACACACAAACAUACACUUAUCUGCGUAUACGUUUGUGCAUGUGUGUAUGUGUGUGUGUGCAUGUGUGAGUGUGUGUACGUGUGUGUGCUGGUGUGUGAAUCUGUGUAAUUUAAAUGAAUAUUCACGUGUGAGUGUGUGUAUGUUUGUGUGUGACUAUGUAUGUGUAUGUAUGCGUGUGUGUGUAUGUGUGUGUAUGCGUACUACACGUGUGUGCGUGUGUAUGCGUGUGUGUGCGUGCUUGUGCGUGAAUGCGUGUAAUCUAAAUGAAUAUUUACUUUGGUAGACGUGUAAGCCGUAACAGAUAAGACUAUGGAUUGGUAGAAUCGUUAGACAUUUAGACACUUAAGCGAUCUCACUCUUUUUGAUUUGAGUUCAAAUCUUGCUGAGGUAAAUCUUAACUUACAUCUUUUCGGAUUCAGUAAAUAAAUUACCUGUCGUAAAGUCAGUUUCUUUUCCUCUAGAUCAGUGGUUUUCAACCAGAGUUCUACGGAACCUUAGGGUUCCGCCAGUACAGUCCAGGGGUUCCACAAGAAGUUACAAAAAUGCUAAAAUCGACAGUAAUUUUUAAUUCUCCUGUGUAGAUAUGUGUGCAUAAGACAAUUAAAUUAUUGCACAGGGGUUCCUCUAGCCAGUGAAAUGUUUUCUUGGGUUUUCGCUCCAGCAAAAAGGUUGAAAAGCACGGUUCUAGAUUGUACCUAUAAACUCUAAGGCCUAUCCUUGUCACAAUGUCUCAUACUGUUUCGGCCCGGAAUGACAUCAAGAGCAAACAUACGUGAGUAUCAGAGAACGCUCAGUCAUUUCAUCUUAAUUUCAAUUGGUUAUUCUUCAACUAGUCGAACCACUGUUUGUUCAUCGUCGAAACCGACGUAGAACUCAACAUUUUGUACAAACAAAUCAAAUAGUACUUCGGUACUUUCCUAUUUUGUAUUCAAAUCCUGAUGGGUUUAACGUUUCUUCUCCUUAUUAUCGUAAAACCGAUCUCAGUAAUAUAUUACGCUAUAUUAUUUCUUCUAAAAUCUUUGGUCAUUAUUUUUGUCACAUUGCUUUGAUUUUGCUCAGAUGAAAAUUCUUAAGAUGUAUUGUUGUAUUCCGAUGAAAUAUGAUUCUUAACUGUAGUCAACCGUAACUUUAAAAAGAAUAAAUUUAACCAUAUCGGAUUUCGAGCUCGAAGGACCUGUGAAGUCUAUGAUCGUAACUUCUUUACUCCAGGACAAUCUGCUCCCACUCUAGCCCUCACCCACAAAAAAUAAAAAUAAAACCAACUAAAUUCGAACAUAAGACGUAAUAGGAAGUAAAAGCCACCCGAUAUUAGUUCGAUGCUAUCUAUUUCAGAAGCUUCACUUCCAUAUGCUAAUGAAAUCUAAAAUAAUUUCAGUCAAACUUCGCUUAUCUGGACAUCAAUUAUCCAAAUACAAUCUCAAGAUCACAUAAAUAUUUAUUAAUCACAUUCUGUGUAACUGAAACCCGAGAAUUAUACUUACGCAACCGUUUCCUUUUUGUUGACGGUGAUUAAAAGUGAAUUCGUAUAACUAAAGAAUAUGUAAAAAUGUUACAUCAAAGAAGUAUUACUGAAAUUGAUGUAAUGACCACGUCUGUUAUUUUACAAUUAUUAAAGUACCAUGUGUCGAUACGGUCUGUUAGUUUCAUCUCAAUCGAUCACUUUAAACGUUGUGUAAAUAAGUUAACAAUAAAGUUUAUAGAAAAUCUGAAAGAUUUAACUGAGUGGAAAAAAAAAAAAAAUCAGCAGGGUUCUUCCUGAGUAUAUAUAUUUCUAACAAAUAAUCGAAUUUCCAGCUGUUAUUAUGAUCGCGAAAAUAAAGCGAACGCAAAUAUUCGUAUGCUCAGGAUUCAAUGAAGGUAAAACAAAUCACAUUUUAUUGCAGAAACCCUCCUUCGUAAUUCCUCUGGUUAUUAAUGUCAGCUAACGGAUCUUUUCGGUUUGAACGGCAGUUUUUAACAUAAUUUCCAGGUAACUAAAAAAUUUUAAACUUCGUAUACUGGUAGAAUGUGUUUAUAAAACAUCUUUUUCUCUUGGCUUUAUUGAGAAAAUUUUAUAGUUUAUAAGAUAUUUGUGUUUUUUUUUCUUCAAUUUCUGCAAUUUCAACCAAUCAGUGACGUCUAUUGAGUUAAAAAGCAUUCUGUGCCGUAUGAAUAUGUCCCUCGUUUAAGAAACAGAUCGGGUUUAUUUACAUUUCUGAAGAAAAAAAAGAUAUCCUUCCCUCACCCCUAACCCUAACCCUAAAACAGAUUGAAAUGCAAUAGAUCGAUACUAGGGUCACAAUUAUGGGUGACAAUUUCAUAUGACACCGCUAAAAAACUGCCGUUCAAACCGAAAAGAUCCCAGCUAACUUGAAGGAGCUCCAGUAGUUCCAUUUUCCUUCCAGUUCCCAAAUUCGUGUCGCUUAUGCACAGCCGUAAUGUUGGCAAUAUGAUCGUCAGAAAAGCUACUAAUUACACAGUCGAUAAGUUCUCUCACCUCAAAGAUUUCAGCCCAUCUUCUGGUUCUUUGCUUAUGAGAUUUCGGCUUUUGCAGAAUCCCCCAACUUAAGAUGACUUGAUAAAUACCACUCCUGCUUGCUGUUGUAGCAAUUCAUAAAGUGAAUAUUAGAGGGCGAUAUAACAUCGAAUUGUGUCAUAUUUUACAACGGUCUGGCAACAAAGACACUUUUACCUGUCCGCUUAAUCUAACAAGAAGUAACAGCAAGAUUUUCAUUAAAUUACAUCCUUCAGACUUAAGGGAAUGGCUUACUGGAUAAGUCAAUCCUAUAAAGACAAGACGGUCGCGGUAUUAAUGCCUUUUGAUGAUAGUUCAGCUCUGUCAGAGCUAACAUGGAAUUAAACGACAAUUGUCUCGACCAUAGAUAAAUGUAAGCCGAAUAUAGAUAGGAUAUAAGCCGUAAGAUAAUUCAACUGAUCUUUUCUUUUUUGACAUUUCGACUGAUUGGUGGAGUCCUAAUGCGAACGCUGAUCUAUUAGCUCUCUGUCGUAGGGAAUUCUGGGAGAGAAAGAGAAAGAGAGAGAGGGGGAGGAAGCGCGGAAAACGAUCUCCGCUAUUUGACUGAUCUUUUAUUUAUCAAAAUAGGAAAAAAAGAUAAAAUUGGCCUCCAGUGGAAUUUGAACUUAGAAGCCAGAGAACCUAAACAUAUAUCUCAAGUCAUUCUAUCCUCAUACUCUAACAACUUGGUACAUAAGUAAUUCGCUGUUCUCUUGAGUUGAUAGAGCAGCAGCAAAUCGAUUCGGCUACUAUUGAUAUUCCUCCUAUGUCUAUAUAAUAUUCAGUUACAGGAAGUAGUAGAAUCAUUAGCAUGCCGGAUAAAAUACUUAUCGAUAUUUCAUCCGUCUUUAUGCUUUGUGUUCAAAUUCUAUCGAGGACAAAUUUGCCUUUCAGGCUUUCGGAAAUGGGUAAAGACAGACGAAAUACCUAUUUCUUUAUUACCCACAAGGGGCUAAACACAGAGGGGACAAACAAGGACAGACAAAGGUAUUAAGUUGAUUACAUCGACCCCAGUGCGUAACUGGUACUUAUUUAAUCGAUCCCGAAAAGAUGAAAGGCAAAGUCGACCUCGGCGGAAUUUGAACUCAGAACGUAGCAGCAGAGGAAAUACCUAUUUUUUACUACCCACAAGAGGUUAAACAUAGAGGGGACAAACAAGGACAGACAAACGGAUUAAGUCGAGUACAUCGACCCCAGUGCGUAACUGGUACUUAAUUUAUCGAUCCCGAAAGGAUGAAAAACUAAGUCGACCUCGGCGGAAUUUGAACUCAGAACGUAACGGCAGACGAAAUACCUAUUUCUUUACUACCCACAAGGGGCUAAACACAGAGGGGACAAAUGAGAAACAAACGGAUUAAGUCGAUUAUAUCGAGCCCAGUGCGAAACUGGUACUUAAUUUAUCGACCCCGAAAGAAUGAAAAGCAAAGUCGACCUCGGCGGAAUUUGAACUCAGAACGUAACGGCAGACGAAAUACGGCUACGCAUUUCGCCCGGUGUUCUAACGUUUCUGCCAGCUCACCGCACCUUAGUGGAUAAAAUAUCAGUGGAGUCCUGGAAUCGAUGUUAUCAUCAAGCAACCUUCCCUCAAAUUUCAGGUCUCACAUUUUAAGUGGAAAGUACUAUUCAGUUAAAAGGGGUUUUGAAAUAUAUAUUUUCACUUACCAGUUGCUGUUUUCGGUGAUAUCAGGUGCAGUGAGAUAAAUUUGUCGAAGGUUUCGUUCAAAGAAUGUCUUCUCUUCCCCGUUUCACUUUUCUGUAACCUCAUUCUCUGCUCUCCUCGCGCCUCUUUCUCUCUUUCUUUCUUUCUUUCUCGGUUGCUUUACCCUUUUGCUUUCAAAUGCAGUCAAUUCACUUGAUAUCUUUGUUGAAAGCAAAGUUUCUAAUUGUUGCCAGAAUCACACACACUCACGCGCGCGCACACACACACACUCACUCACACACACACAUACACACACACACACACUCACACACACACACACACACACACACACACACACAGAUUAUCUCAAACACUUUUAUAUAGGCGUAGAAUACAACUCACAUCUCGCUCAAAUAUGUGUACGUGUGUGUGUGUGUGUGAGUGUGUGUGCGUGUGUGUGCGUGUGUGUGCUUCUGUGUUUAUAUGUAUGUAUGUAUGUAUGUAUGCAUGUAUUACGUCACACUCACCCUUACUUGCUCGCAAUACAGACUCACUCCUGUUCUCUCCAAACUUCUUAUCUACGCUCUCUUUCUGUCAGUCCGUCUGACUGUCCGUCUGUCUGUCACUCUCGCUUUGCCCCUCCCUCACCCUCACUCACACCCACACACUCUAAAACAUCAAACGGAAGAUUCAGUUAUCACCCAAAUCUUACCCCCAGUCGGAUGCCAACCUUGAACAGUAACAACAACAACAACGAAGAGAAGAAGCGCUGUUAGACGCGCAUAACUUAACAGCAUUUGUCUAAGUAAACAUGAUGUAUGUUACAUACAAUUGAUGAAGAGUUGAGCACCAAAUCACACUUAUUGUUAUGAAUGGAUGGUUGAAAGGAGGCUGGGAGAGAGAGAGAGAGUAGGGAAGGAGGAUAGAAAGAUAGCGGAGAUAUAGAUAAGAAGAUGAAUAGAUGGUUAUGUGUUUGUAUGUGUGUUGAAUGUGUGAAAUAUAAUAAUGAUUUCAAAUCUUGGCACAAGGCCAGCAAUUUCGGGGGAGAGGAAACCGAUUACAUCGACCCCAGUGUUCGACUGGUACUUAUUUUAUCGAUCUCGAAAGGAUGAAAGGCGAAACCGACCUCGUUAGAAUUAGAACUUAUUACGCAAAGACGGACGAAAUACCUAUUUCUUUACUACCCACAAGGGGCUAAACACAGAGAGGACAAACAAGGACUGACAAACGAAUCAAGUCGAUUAUAUCGACCCCAGUGCGUAACUGGUACUUAAUUUAUCGACCAUGAAAGGAUGAAAGGCAAAGUUGACCUCGGCAGAAUUUGAACUCAGAACGUAGCGGCAAACGAAAUACCUAUUUCUUUAUUACCCACAAGGGGCUAAACACAGAGGGGACAAACAAGGACAGACAUAGGUAUUAAGUCGAUUACAUCGACUCCAGUGCGUAACUGGUACUUAAUUUAUCGACCCCGAAAGAAUGAAAGGCAAAGUCGACCUCGGCGGAAUUUGAACUCAGAACGUAGCGGCAAACGAAAUACCGCUGAGCAUUUCGCCCGAUGUGCUAACGAUUCUGCCAGCUCACCGCCUUUACUGAUUCACUAUAAUGCUGGAGGAGCGUGGCUUAGGGAUUAGGGUAUUGGACUCAUGAUCGUGAGAUUGCGGUUUCGAUUCCUGGACCAGGCGACGCGUUGUGUUCUGGAGCAAAACACUUAAUUUCACGUUACUCCAGUCCACUCAGCUGGCAAAAGUGAGUAACUCUGCGACAGACCGGCGUCCUGUCCAGGUGGGGAAUACUUACGCCAGAGAAAACGGGAAACGGGCCCUGUGAGCCUAAAUGAUUCGGAAAGACACUUUACUUUACUCUCUGUUACGUGUUCGGUAUUUGGUAUCUAAAUUUCAUUACGAUUACUGCCACUACAACCGUUUUAUAUUACAGUCACAAUCCAUUACGACCACAAACUGAUUAAGAGUAAAACUUAUCCACGGUAACCACAAACCCAUCAAAUUCACGAUGGCGAAUUACAUUGCUAACUGACGUGUGAGAUGUUGAUUGGCUAGGUUUGAAGAUUUUGCUUUUAAGUGUCCAUUUCAUGAUGAUUAGAAUAAAGACGAUUAUAUAUAUAUAUAUAUACAUGUGUAUGUAAGAGCAUAUAUCACAUAUAUUAUAAUCUCUCUCUCUCUCUCUCUCUCUCUCUCUCUCUAUAUAUAUAUAUAUAUAUAUAUAUAUAUAUAUAUAUAUAUAUAUAUAAAGUUAAUCCAAACAUGAAAGCACAAAAAACACAACAACGCGAGGACGUGGAACAAAUAUAGUAUUACUGGACGCUCAGGAAAGAAGGAAAGAAGGAAAGAAGGAGGGUUUAACGUUUCGAGCGGAGCUCUUCGUCGGAAACAUAGAAGGAAAGAUCCAGAGAAGGGAAUCUAACAACCUAUAUAUAUAUAUAUAUAUACAUACAUACAUACAUACAUACAUACAUACAUACAUACAUACAUACAUACAUACAUGCAUGCAUACAUAAAACAAGGGAACUUUCCCAAGUUACUAUCCUGCAGCAAAUGAGCGCACACACAAGACACACAUAAUAUAUAUAAAAUUUUCGUUGGAAAUAAUUCAAAAUUUGUUCUCAGUACAUAAUAGAAAUAUAUAGUUUACUCUCAGCUACUCUUUGUCUUCUGACAUGUUGCUAUAAAGCCUAGGUUGAUCCGUCAUAUGCGUCAUCCAGAGGUUAAAUACAUUUCGCGUGCUGUAUGUGUAUUUACGUGACUGAUGCAAUUGCCAACGUUGCUGCACAUACUUAGCAAUGUGCCAGUUAUGUAUUUUGCUUUGUGCAGGUCACAGGUGCAUCAGUGUUUUCCAGCUUUCUACUAAAUUUUGUGAAAUGCUGAAAGGUAUGUAUAAAUUUCAUAAAUGAAUAUUCCAAAGAUUGAACGUUUAUUAGAAAACAGUUUUUUUUUAAAGCUGAUAGUAGAAUAUGUAUUUAUACGUUCAAUAUGUUGCAUAGCAAAGGCGGCGAACUGGCAGAAUGGUUAGCACAUCGGGAAAAAUAUGGGGUCAUCCCACGAAUAAUGCAGUUUUUUUCAAUUGCAUGAACUAAAAGUCGGAGGGAGAUGGGAUAAACUACCUGCAUCAACUUACUAUAAAAGCAGGUAAUAAUUUUCCUAGUGCUUAUUCUUAGUGCGAGUUUUGAAGAGGGCAGUUUGAUUUUAACAUUUAUUUUUUCAAAGCUACAAUGGAAGUGACAAAGGAACAUAUUCGGCACAUUUUGCUUUAUGAGUUCAAUAAAGGCAACUACACAACUGAAAGGGCGAGGAAUAUUAAUGUAGUAUAUAGGGAUCGGACAAUAAACGUAAGCCAUUGUCAACGGUGGCUCCAGAAAUUCUGUGCUGGAAACUAAAGCCUAGAAGGCAAGCCUCGUUCAGGAAGAUCUGUAGAGGUCGACGAGGACGUCCUGGUGCAAACAAAUCUCAUCGUAACUGUUGAGGAACUUGCAGAAAAGCUUGUAUUUGGUCAUUCAACCAUUCAUCGACACCUGCGUGCUAUCGGAAAAGUCAGCAAAUUGGGUCAGUGGAUUCCUCACAAACCAUCCGAAUCUAAUCGUCCGCAGAGAGUGAUUGUUUGCUCUUCUUUACUCUCACGUAUCACAAAUGAACCUAUUUUCGGACCGAAUAGUGACUGGUGAGAGAAAUGGGUUCUCUAUAAAAAUGUCAAGAACCCUAGGUAGUGGUUAGGGAAAGGAGAAAAUCCGGCACCCCAGGCUAAAGAAGGUCUUCACUCACGUAUGAUAUUGUUAUCUGUUUGGUGGGAUAUGAAAGGUUUAGUCUUGUUUGAACUUUUAAACUGAAAACAAAUGAUAACAAAGAAGAUCUACUGCGAGCAGCUUAAGCAGCUUAAGUCAGUGCUCGAAGAAUAAGGAUCACCUUUGGUCCAUCAGGAUAAUGCUCGCCCACAUACUGUGAUGAUGACAUUCCAAAGGCUGGAGCAGUUUGAAUGGGAACCGAUGCCCUACCCAUCCACGGACAAGUGAAUUUUGGAAGAGGUGCCUUACAAGUCUAACAGAUGGAUGGUAGAGCAUCGUAGAAAAUGAAGGAGAGUAUAUAUCAGAUUAAAAAAGAACUUUGUUUAUCUUAAUUUUUAAAAAUACAAGAAGUAUAAAAACACCAAAUUAUUUUUGGGAUGACACAAAACUUAGCGGCAUAUCGUCCAUCUGUAUGUUCUGAGUUCAAAUUCCGCCGAGGUAGAGUUGGCCUUUCAUCCUUUCAAGGUCGAUAAAAUAUGUAGCAGCUAAGUAUCGGGGUCGAUGUAAUCGACUUAGGUUCCCCCACGAAAUCACUGGUCUUGUGCCAAAAUUUGAAACCAAUACUGAGCAUAGAAGAAAGUAUAAUGCUACAGGAUAUAUAAAGUGCAAAGUACAAACGAUUUAUUCUGCCUUCGCGUUACUCGGCAAAACAGCAGCAUAUUUCUUGAUCAAGAGAAAUAGAGACGCUGCAGGCACAAUAAAAGCAUAAGUUGCAAUGGCCUGCUGCAAAGGCAUUCUGCACUGUCCAGUGUUGUCAAUCGUUCAGCUCAAAUAACUUUUGCUAAGAGUUAUUUUAGAAUCUGAACUGCAAGCAAUAUUCACGCAUUUGGAAGAAAUGUAUUGCCAUAAUAAGACUUUAAUUAGCUCCCAACGAAAUUUCAGAAACUGUGAAAGAGAUGAAUGCCUCGUCUUUUUAUAGUAAAUCUAUGAAUACAAAACGUCAAGAAGAAGAAAAAAAUUCCCUUUAAUUGUGCUGCAAUUUUCCAGAAAAGAUUCUAUUGCAGAUGUAAUCACGUUCAUGUGAGACCCCCAGAUGCUAUAGGAAGAAUCUGAAGAAAAACUUGUUGCAGAUUCUAAAGUUGAUACUGAGAAAUGUACAGCUGUUGGUGGAGACAACACGAACAUGGUGGACGCUGCACAAAUUUUCAAUAGUAUCUAUCUAAAAUUGGAGCAAAGCAAGAUGAAUUCUAUAAGAGUAGGCCAACCAACUAAUAUUCUGUAUAAUGUUUAUCAAACUACAACUAAUGUUCUUUCAAUUGAUGCAGAAAUUGUUGUCUGACUUCAGUAUUUGUAUUGGCCGAAUUGAAAAAUUAAGAAAGUCUGUGAGUUUGUAUUUACCUCAGUUCUCUCAUAUUCUAAAAUUCUUUGUCAUCAUUAAUUAAAUCAGGGAAGAGAAUCAACACUUUAUUCAAAGUAUUGAAAUGUUACUUACGUACCGAAAAAAAAUUCAUGAAAAUCCUUGUUUCUAUUUUCAAUUUAUUGAGCGAAGUUUGUUUAUUUCAUGAUCAUAGUUUUCAAUAUCUUUUUAGCUAUAGAAUUUUGCAAACUAAAAAAAAAAAGUGCAAACAGCAUUAACGAGGAACUCAUUAACUAUGUAACAGAAAGAAUUAAUGAAAGGUUUAUCCCUCUAAGUAUCAAGGAUUGCCUUAAUGGUGACGACAUUAAGUUUGAACAGAAAAGAAAUUCCGACUUGAAGUGGAUAAUUAUCGCAGCAAUUGCUAUGAAUAACGUGUGGAAUGGACUUCAGCUCUUGAAGAAUUUGAUGGUUUUACAUGGAUGUUAUUAAAUAGUCUUCCAACAUGGGAACAAGGGUUAAAUUAGAAUGGAGUAAAAAUUGAUGAUAAUGUUCUCUUUUGACAUUGGAAAGCAUUGAAAAAAAAAACUAAAACAAAACAAAAAAAAAAAAAAUUCGUUGAACGAGAGAUGCAUUGUGAACCUGAAAAAUACAAAAGAAAAUUAUGCUAUGAAAAAUGGCAUUCAGUAUUUCAACAAAUUGAAUUUUAAGCGCAAUUUUCAGAGUUGCUAAUUUUACGCCACAAGUUGUUCAUCAUACAGGCUUAUAGCACUAAUGCCGAGUGUGUGUUUUCAUUAAUGAAGGCUCAACAGACAAAAGACCGAAAUAAACAGGAUGUGACUACAAUGGAAGCUAUACAACAAUGUAAGUGGAACCUAGAUUGUCAUUGCAAAGAAUUUUAUUAUCAAGUACUGCAAAACGGAGACCUGUCAAGAAAAGUAUUUCAUAAGUGAAAUGUGAUUAAAGGUAAGUUAUUUAAAUUUUAAAAUUGUAUCAAUUUAUUUCAUUUCAACGUAUUUUCCUGAGACCAAUCAUUUAAUGUUAAUCUCAGCAUGUUUUAGGUAUGUGUAUGCACGAAUUUAAUAGUUAUUUGAUUUUGAAUAUAAAAAUGUCCUAUAUUUGUGUUUACCAAUUCUGGUAGUCCUACGAGGAGGAGAUAAUUGAUAAUGAAAGAGCUGAGUGAAAAGCAUUAUUUCCGACGAUAUAUUCACCUGAUAAUACACGAUAUUGAUUGUAGAAUUGAGUUUCUUAAAUCGGUAGAAUUAAUUUAUAAUUCAAUAAUGUUCAGUGAUUAGCCGAGGCAUUAUAUCAAUUGAGUGGCAUGAAGAUGGAAAUGUUAUAACAAAAGAAAUUUACCGAGCCUUUAUUCGAAAUUUCACGAAAAUCAAGGUAUCUCCCAGUUCUAUUUAUCGCUGUUUAUUAUAAAUUUUGAACUAUAUCCCCUUUUAUUGGCAGCCAUUUUAUAUACUUAAAGCAAAAUAAUGCCAUGUAGUGUUUCUUUAUAUUUUAUCUUGCCCCCUUGGAUAUCUUUAUUUGAUUUUGUUUUGAGUUUUUACAAAUAUUUUAUUCAAUGUACGUACUAGAUUGUAUCUCUUGUUGUUUAAGGCCUAGGUCAUCUGUGAUAGCUCAGAUCUAUGAUCAAAAGCGUUUCAGCCGAGACUGUCUUUACUUUUGUAUGUAAGGGAUUAAAUUACUUAGUGCAAACGUCUCCGUCGUUUCUUCAGAACGAUAAGGCAUGGUUUCAGGAUGAUUUGUCUGAUGUUUCCAGUCUAGUUCUUAAUUAUCUACUGUUGUUUUUUAAAAAUCCAAGUCAACCUUGAUGGUGCAGUUCUAUGGUCAGAGACAUUCCACUUAUAACCAUCUCACCUUUAUUUUUGUUGGGAGCCUAAGACUAUAUUAUCCAAUGUUCCAUAAUUAAGGCUACAGCGUGAUAUGAGGAUGCUAUUUAAGGUUGGUCGAGCGGCCACAGUAGAUUUCUCGUUGAUUUGUAAAAUUGUCUUGGUGGUGUUGUAUUAUGGGAAGUAACAUACGGAUUCUUGGAUGAUGCCACUUGAAUUUAGUAAAAGAUUUUCAAAUUUUAAAAAAGUUUUGUUCGUUGAUAAGGCGGUGAAUUGGCUGGAUCGUUAGGGUAUCGGAUAGAACGUCAUGUGAUAUUGCUUUUGCUCUCUCUGAUCUAAGUUCAAAUUUCACCGAGAUCAACUUGGACUUUCGUCCCUUCGAGAUCGUUAAAUAAUCUACCAAGCAAGAAUUUUUUGCUGAUGUUGUUUGAAGGAAUUUUAGAGAUGGUAGUUUUAAUACUUUGUGUUUUAAUUAGUCACUUUUUCUUAGAGGUAAGAAUUCUAAAUUCGCUGGGCGACGUAUACGUAUUCACAACAGUUUUGUAAAUAAAGCACAUCAUUUUUGUACUGCAUAAACUUAUCUAACUUUAGGGGUUAUAGGAUUAUAGGUACCUGAUGGACAUGGGACUGCCAUUUUUGGAGGAACAACGUCUUUCCCAAAGAGGAAAUUUCUGCUUCAUUUAACACCACGACAGAAGAGCUAGUCCCUUGGUCAUUGUAUUCUCCUCGGAUUUGAGGACAUUUCGAUUAUUUUGGUUUUACCCGAGUUGAUGGAAUCGUGAAAGAAAGUUUCUGUUAGCUAAGCGUAUCCUAUACACAUAGUAUGAAGACGAAACAAAUACUGCUGAACUACCUGGCAAAAUAAAUAGAUAAAUUAAUAAAUGCUGGAGACAUAUUCGUGACCAACUAAAAGAAAUAACUGAGUAUUGACUAGGAAGGAAAAUAUUUAGACCGAAUUCCGUGACUUAAUAUAACUCGUGUUGCUGUAGGGAAGAACAGGAAUCUGAAGUUUGGUGUGGUCCUAGAGAAUAAAUCAUGUUCGUUAGACGAAGAGACAAUUAGGAAUAACAGAAUCCUCUUCUUGUCACUGUUUACGAAUUUCUCAAACUUAUGAAAUACACCGUAUUACUAUAGCCAACGCUGACGCUCACCUGUUCUACGCAGUGUGAUUAGUUUUUAUCAGGGAUUUAGGGAUUAAAUAACAAAGAUUUCGGAUUUUGUCGGUUUGAACGGCAGUUUUUAACAUAAUUUCUAAGUAACUAAAAUAUUUUAAACUUCGUAUACUAGUAGAAUGUGUUUAUAAAACAUCUUUUUCUCUUUGUCUUUAUUGAGAAAAUUCUAUAGUUUGUAAGAUAUUUGUUGUUUUUUUUCUUCAAUUUCAAUUUCUGCAAUUUCAACCAAUCAGUGACGUCUAUUGAGUUAAAAAGCAUUCUGUGCCGUAUGAAUAUGUCCCUCGUUUAAGAAACAGAAUGUGUUUAUUUACAUUUGUGAAGAAAAAAAGAUAUCCUUCCACCACCCUAACCUUAACCCUGACCCUAACCCUAACCCUAACUAACCCUAACCCUAAAAGAGAUUGAAAUGCAAUAGAUCGAUUCUAGGGUCAUAAUUAUGGGUGAUAAUUUCAUAUGAUCCCGCUAGAAAAAACUGCCGUUCAAACCGAAAAAACCCAAAUUUCUCUUUGGGUAUGUGGGUGUUAUUAUUGAAUCGAAACUGCUGUUAUAUUGGUAUUCGAUUUCUCAGUUCCCAGAGGGAUAGAAAGCAUACUGAAUGUAGUAUGAUUUGAACUCUGGUAGACAGUAUCGGAUAUGUAUGUAACUAAUUACUACUUUUUGUUUGUCGCUUCUACUGUUUUAGCCGCUUUAUAACCUUUAAAAAUGUUCGCAGCAACUAAAGUAAUAAAAAACAUUUAUAGCCAUUCCAGUAGCAUUAGUCUAGUAAUUUUCCAGCAUCUACACGUCAGCAGGUGGAAUGUGGAAACUUUUACACAAGGAAUAUGAUUAAAUAGAUGGUUGGCAUCUGUAAGAAAAUUAGAAUGACUUACGGCUUUCAAACAUGAAAUAACAGCAUAACUGAAGCAGGGAAAAUCGGCAGUAGGGCUGAAGAAAAGUUCUACAGAGGAGCUUCUGCCAAAUGAAUUCACAUACAAUAGAGUCUCUAAACACAAAUAGUAGAAAAAAACAUCUAUUAAUUCAGAUUAUCCAAACAAUAAGUAGAUAAAAUCUCCAUGCAUGGAGCAGAGGUGUUUGAAAUCUAAAAACAAAUCCUAAGGGAGACAAUUUCAAUUAACUGAUAGUUAUGGAAAUAAAGACUGUGUAAAUGAGAGUGACUGAGAAUAUCUUUAAAGCCAGCUCGUAACAACACACACACACACACAUAUAUAUAUAUAUAGUAGCUGUGUGGUAAAAAGCUUGCUUUCCAACCACAUGGUUCUGGGUUCAGUCCCACUGCGUGGAAAUUUGGGCAAGUGUCUUCUACUAUAUAUAUUUCUUUACUACCCACAAGGGGCUAAACACAGAGGGGACAAACAAGGACAGACAAAGGGAUUAAGUCGAUUACAUCGACCCCAGUGCGUAACUGGUACUUAAUUUAUCGACCCCGAAAGGAUGAAAGGCAAAGUCGACCUCGGCGGAAUUUGAACUCGGAACGUAACGACAGACGAAAUACGGCUACGCAGGUCGCCCGGCGUGCUAACGUUUCUGCCAGCUCAAGCCUCAGGGCAACCAAAGCCUUGUAAGUGAAUUUAGCAGACGGAAACUGAAAGAAACCCGUCGUAUAUAUAUAUGAAUAUACCUGUGUGUGUGUCUGUGUUUGUCCCCUACCCCACCGCUUGACAACUAGUGUUGGUGUGCUUAUGUCCCCAUAACUUAGCGGUUCGGGAAAAGAUAUCGAUAGAAUAAGUACCAGGUUUUAAAAAAAAGUACUGAGGUUUAUACAUUCGGCUAAAAAUUCUUCAUUGCGGUGCCAAGCAUGGCCGCAGUCUACUGACAAACAAAAACAGAUAGAAAAGUUUUAUAUAUAUAUAAAUAUAUAUAUAUAAUAAAAAAUAUAAGAGAGUGGUCACUAUGUGGCUCACUCUAGCACUAGUAAAUCCAAAAGGUUUCAACCACAAAAAUACAUGUUUCCCAUGAAAGUCAGUACGAUUGUUAGCUCACACGAACAGGGCAAAAAAAAAUAACAAAAAUACAGAUUAUUUUGGGACAAUUGUUUCGCUAUUAAUGAAUUAAAUGUAAUUUUACUCACAAAAAACUCACUUGUAGCUCCUCAGCCAAAACUAUCUGGAUGAAAUCCACUCAAUCACACGCUAGAUUUUACCAUAACGAUAAAUGCACGUGUGGUUCAAUUGAUUACAUCCGACGUUUAAAUUAGUAUCUAAUUCUCUCACCCUUAUUAAUUAAUUAUAAUUAUGCUACAUUUAUUUCUAAAUGUAGUAUUUGUUUCCGUGAAAGUUUGGCGCGCUGUUGGUAGGGGCAUUUGAAUUAUAACGUCGGAUGUAAUCAAUUGAACCACACGUGUAUUUAUCGUUAUGGUAAAAUCUAGCGUGUGAUUGAGUGGAUUUCAUCCAGAUAGUUUUGGCUGAGGAGCUACAAGUGAGUUUUUUGUGAGUAAAAUUACAUUUAAUUCAUUAAUAGCGAAACAAUUGUCCCAAAAUAAUCUGUAUUUUUGUUAUUUUUUAUUUGCCCUGUUCGUGUGAGCUAACAAUCGUACUGACUUUCAUGGGAAACAUGUAUUUUUGUGGUUGAAACCUUUUGGAUUUACUAGUGCUAGAGUGAGCCACAUAGUGACCACUCUCUUAUAUUUAUUUUUAUAAAAUAUUAUAAUAUGUUAUAAAAUAUUAUAAUAAUCCAGGUUUCUCGGGGCACUGGGCCACUUGGUGUUGAAUAGGUAUACUAUUAAAUUAGUAUCUAAUUCUCUCACCCUUAUUAAUUAAUUAUAUAUAUAUAUAUAUUAAUAUAUAUAUAUAUAUAUAUAUAUAUAUAUAUAUAUAUAUAUAUAUAUAUAUAUAUAUAUAUAUAUAUAUAUAUAUAUAUAUAUAUAUAUAUAUAUAUAUAUAUAUAUAUAUAUAUAUAUAUAUAUAUAUAUAUAUAUAUAUAUAUAUAUUUAUUAUAUAGAAGGAGCUUCUACAGGACUAGAACUGUUUCAUUCAAGAGAAAUCUUCAGGAAGCUUCAGGAGCUUCCUGAAGAUUUCUCUUGAAUGAAACAGUUCUAGUCCUGUAGAAGCUCCUUCUAUAUAAUAAAUUAAUUUUACUCUGCUAUGUAUUGAGUACCUUAUUUACUGUGGUUAACCCCGAAUCAACCCGGGACCUACAUAUAUAUAUAUAUAUAUAUAUAUAUAUAUAUAUAUAUAUAUAUAUAUUCGGUUUAAGUAAUUGAGAUUCAAGUGAAUUCUAAUGAAUUCACAUGAAUAUGGUCCCUAACUAGGAUGCACCGGAAAUCUAUAUGGUGUUAACCAUACGACAAGUGGGGUGAUUACAAAUAGGAAAAAAGCAACAAGAAUGGAUUAAUCCAUUCUUGUUGCUUUUUUCCUAUAUAUAUAUAUAUAUAUAUAUAUAUAUAUAUAUAUAUAUAUAUAUAUAGGGUUAUUCAAAAAGAGUUAACCGAUUUCCUUACGCAACAUUUCAAUAAGGAAAAGCAAUAGAGAACUCCAGCUAAGUCACAAGUAUUUACUCACAAUCAACUUGUAUUUCCUGCAUUACAAGUGUUCAAUGUGGCCACCACCUGCAGCACGCGUAACAUGAAUGCGACCAAAGAAUUUCUUCCAGACGCUUAUCUGCCUGGCCUGCGAGAUCCAAAUACCUCACCUGUGCGAUUUUUCUUGUGGGGAUAUGAUCUUAAACAUCGAAUAACAACAUCGAUCCACGCAGUUCAUCGCGACAUGCUGAUACGCGUCUGGGAGGAAUUCUCUUAUCGCAUUGGUGUUACCCUUGCUGCAGGUGGUGCCCACUUUGAAUAACCCUGUAUGUAUAUGUAUUUAUAUACACGCACUCCUGGGUGUGAGGAUAAAACUGCAUCCCUCUGCCAAGUCAUGCCGAUCUCGUGUGGCAGAGUAAGCUCAUCAAACCAGUAUGAUCUCAAGCUCAAAUUCACGGCCUCCAAUACACUCACACAUGUAUUUAUUAAUGUUUUUUUCUGAAGCGAUUUUACAUUCAAAUAGUGGAUUACAUAUUCUUCAUUACUGUUCUAUAUUUAAGAGAUGAGGAAUUUUGUACAUUAUUUACGUUUGACGGAUAUUUGUUCUCAUCUUGUUUGUGUUAACACAACGUUUCGGCCGCUAUAUCUUCCAGCCUUCAUUAUUUUGGGGAAAUUUCAAACCUGGGUUCUCAUUCCUAAGGUAUUUUCGAUGUUGUCAUCAUUAUUAUUAUCAUUAUUAUUAUUAUUAUUAUUAUUAUUAUCAUUAUCAUUAUUAUCAUUAUUAUUAUCAUUAUUAUUAUUAUCAUUAUUAUCAUUAUUAUUAUUAUUAUUAUUAUCAUUAUUAUCAUUAUUAUUAUCAUUAUUAUUAUUAUUAUUAUUAUUAUUAUUAUUAUUAUUAUUAUUAUUAUUAUUAUUAUUAUCAUUAGUCAAGUCACAUAUGCCCGUGGGCAUAUGGCGUGGUGGUUAAGAGCGUGGGCUACUAAUCCCAAGAUUCCGAGUUCGAUUCUAGGCAGUACCUGAAUAAUAACAAUAUAAAUAAUAAUAAUAGUAAUAAUAAUAAUAAUAGCAUCAAAAUGUUCCUUCGAAAUGAGAAGCCAGGUUAGAAAUUCCCUCAAGACACCUGAUUAAGGCUGGAGGGUAUAUCAACAGAAACUUGUGUUAACAACAAGCAAGAUGAGGACAAAUAUUCGUCAAAUAUAAAUAAUGUAAAAAAAAAUGUAUAUUCCUUAUUAUUUUACAAGAACGGUGUGAAUUGUGUGACAGAUGCUUCGAAGUUUCAGCCUUCUUAACUUACAUAUAUGUAUAGAAGAAAUGUAUUGACACAGAUUAUGAAUAUCCCUAAUAUGGCAGUGGGAUGGAAUACAUCAGAAGACUGUUUUCAUACUAGAAACAUACGGUAGAGACUCAAAUGUAAUACAGUGAGAAGAAAAACUUCAGUUAACUAAGUAAACAGAAAUGUUCAUCAAGGAAGUAUCCAAAAUUUAAGAACAACAAACAAAUGAAAUAACGGUAAUAAUUUCCAUAAGAUACUGGAAUAAAUAUCGUUAUAAUUUUAAAUACAACAGCAUUGCAAUAAAAACAGAAUAAACGUAGAUGUUUAAUUUAACGCUAUACUAUAUUUAUACUUUACGGAGAUGUACUUACAUAGCAAGUGACUUGAUCUGAGAUAGUGUGCUGAAACAAAAUCAAUUGCAACGUGGAAGAUGUUUGCAAGCCAUUUAAGAACACACAAAAACCGUUAGUUUCACUUCAACAUUUAAAUUUAAUUUAUGCCAAAAUAUUUUCGUCGCUUUGAAACCUCGACCGGUUCACUGACAAAACUAACUUCGUGCUGCAUCACGAAGUCUUGUCAGUGAACAGGUCACGGUUUCAAAGUGAUGAAAAUACUUUGGUACAAAAUUAAUUUAAUGUUGAAGUAAAACUAUCAGCUUUUGUGUGUUCUUAAAUGGCUCACAAACACCUUCCACGCUGCAAUUAUAUUUAUACUGUACUAUACGAUAAAACACUCUUCCUGCAUUACACCAAACCUCCCAAGUAUUCUAAGAUACAGGAAUAUCUCUCAGUUACCAUUCAUACCUUAGCCAGUCAUGUUUACAGAAUAAAAGGAUUCUUUGUGUUUCAUAUUUACGAAAAAAAAAUGGCGAUAAAAUGUAGAAUAGUUUAUUACAUCAACCGUAGUACUUGACUGCUACCUUAUUUUAUCGACCAAGCAAAGUUCACUUCUGCAGGAUUUAAACUCAGAACAUAAGAGGACGAAAGAAUGCCGCAAGACUUUACAUCCGAAGCUGUAACGGUUCUGCCAAUCAACCAUAUGUGGAGAGAGAGAGAGAGAGAGAGAGAGAGAGAGAGAGAGAGAUUGAGAGAUGAUAAUGAUCAUAAGUACAACAACAAUAACCUCAACCACAGUAUCAAAACAACGAUAAUAAUAUGAACAACACCAAUACCAUCAGUUACAACAGCAACAACAGCGAUAACACUGCUAGUAACAACAAGAAUAAACUCUGAAUUAUCUUAGUGGGCUAUGAAAGACAAAUUUGAUGACUGAAGCUGAUGACGCGCAUCGAUGGAGAAAUGCAUGCCUCCUAGGGUUCGAUGACGUCAUUCAUAGCUCAGUAAUGUGUUUUCCCGCACAUCAUUAAUAAAGAGAAUUUCUUUCUGGAGAUAAUUUCUACGGCACAAGUCCUUUCACGGACAAGUGUACACGAAUUGUACAUACUUAUAUAUUUCAACGCUGCUUCAUUCGCUUCGUGUUAGAAGAAGUUAAAACAUAUAGGUUAUUACAAAACUGCAGUAUGUUAUCUCAUAUUUAUUCCUUGGCAGAAUCGUUAGAGCAGCGGUAUUUAUUCUGAGUUCAAAUCGCACCGAGGUCAACUUUGCUUUUCAUCCCUUGGGGUCGAUGUAAUCGAUUUUUUCCACUCCUUAAAAUUGCUGACCUUAUGCCAACAUUGGAAGGAAUUUUUAAUCCAAUUUCAUAGCAUGAAAUUGUGAACUAAGUAACACUUAGCCUCUAAAUAAUCAUCCAUAUAAUUCAUUCAAGUCACAGUGUAAAGAAGCAAAGUAUUAGUUAAACAAGACUGUUAGCUCAUACUUUACUACUCGUUCUUCAUGCAGCAGGCACCCUUAGUAUCUUCCCAUUGUACUCUUCCUCUCUCCCCACUCUCUCUCUCUACAGUCAUGCAUUAUUUACACAAGCUAACGAUGUACUAGAAACAAUAAUUAUGAAGCAGCAAGUAAAUGAAAUAAAUACAAAUCUCUAUAAAUCACCUAAUUUACACAUCACCCGAAAUUAUAGCGAAAGAAUCCGGUAUUGAGAUCAAUAAAAAAAAUAUAAAUCAGUCAACGUAAACAAAAACGUAAACAAAAACACUAAUAACUAUACCGUCAUGUGAGGAGGAAUUAUGGAGAAGAAUAAUAAAAAUAACAUCAAAAGAUAUUUAACACGCAAAGAAAUGAUAAAAGUAUUGAUAGAAUAAAUACCAAUGAGCAGGAAAAAAAAAAGUAUAGUUCUAUAUAAGGUAAAAAUAAAUUUGUAAAAUAAAGGGAAAUAACCUACUUUGUUUAAUCUGCUCCCACUCAAAAAUAAACAAUACAAAAGAGACAAAUAUACAAGUGUUAAUGCAAUAAGUAGGAGCAAAAGCUCAUGAAUGCAGAAUUCGAAAGAAGAAAAAUAGAGAAAGAAUGAAAGAAAGAAAAAAAGAGAGAAAGAAGAAAAAAAGAAAAUUCGUUCAAAGAAAAAACAAGCAAAAAACAAAUAAAAAAACAAAAACUUUGGAUCCGAAAAGAAAAAUUAGAGUCUAUUCUGAAGGUUAAACAAUAAAAUUAUAGAAUCAAGAUUUUUUCAACGAAAGAAAUGCUGGAAUGUAACGAUAAUAAUAAUAAUAAUAAUAAUAAUAAUAAUAAUGAUGACGAUGAUGAUGAUGAUGAUGAUGAUGAUACUAAUAAUAAUAAUGAUAAUGAUGAUGAUGAUGAUGAUGAUGAUAAUAAUAAUGAUAAUAAUAAUAAUAAUAAUAAUAAUAAUAAUAAUAAUAAUAAUGAUAAUGAUAAUAAUGAUGAUGAUAAUAAUAAUAAUAAUAAUAAUAAUAAUAAUAAUAAUAAUAAUAAUAAUAAUAAUAAUGAUAAUGAUGAUGAUAAUAAUAAUAAUAAUGAUAAUGAUAAUGAUGAUGAUGAUGAUGAUGAUAAUAAUAAUGAUAAUGAUAAUGAUAAUGAUGAUGAUGAUGAUAAUAAUAAUAAUGAUAAUGAUAAUGAUGAUGAUGAUGAUAAUAAUAAUAAUAAUAAUAAUAAUAAUAAUAAUAAUAAUAAUAAUGAUCAUGAUGAUGAUGACGAUGAAGAUAAUAAUAAUAAUAAUAAUAAUAAUAAUAAUAAUGAUAAUGAUGAUGAUGAUGAUGACGAUAAUAAUAAUAAUAAUAAUAAUAAUAAUAAUAAUAAUAAUAAUAAUUUGGGAUGGUGUGUAAAAACAAUAAUAAAAGACAUGCAUGAAAGUGAGGAAAUUUUCACGCUAUCGACAACCCACGCAACGAAAUGGUGGAAAUAUUUAAAAUAUUCUGCUAAUUCUAUAUCCGUACAUUAGUGAAUGAUACUGGUACGGAUUUAGGUAUUAUUUGAAAGGAAAAAAAUAUAUAUGAAAGUGUGCUUUAUAUAUUAGAUUAUGAUUAUUAUUUUAAAGGUUAUUAUCUUAAAACAAUAGAAUGUUUUACAGUUUGAGAGAUUCAUUACAAAAAACUGAGCCGAAGUGAGCACAAGAUACAUAUCGACUGAGACUUGACGUUUCGCCUGACGGUUUAUUCAGCCAGACUAUAUCUAAAGAUUGCUAGAUUUUGGCUAUAUUUCGAUAACGUAUUUCUCGAAGACUUCCUUACCCACAAUGCGAGCUGCUAAUAUAAUUGCUGGUAUAUUCGUCGGAGUCGGUGUUAUUUUUGCUUUUGUUGCUGUUUUUGUUACUGUAGUGAUUUUGUUGCUUAUUCCCGCAACAGCCUUGAUUGAGCAGACAUAUUGUCAGUGACAUUCCAGAAUUGGCCAUCCCAUGUUUUAGAUUUUUUGAUACUAUGUAUUUACGAUAACAUUAUCUAAUGUGUCCUCCCCUUUUUAAGAAGGUAAGAUAUAGCAUAAGGUAGAUUUAGUUGCUACUUUUAGUUAAUUGAGCGGCUAUAUAGAGACCAAGACUCAAACCUGAAAUAUGAUUACAAAGCAUGUUGGUAAUAUGAUUGAUUAACCUUGGUCAAUGUUUCAUAUCAAAAGCGUUCGGGCAGGUGACAUCCUGUCAUGGACUUCAUUAUGUACCGCCAUUCUUUUUCAAGAAUUAAAAUAUAAUUCAAAGGAGGUUUGGUGGUUAUUGGUUUCAAAUUUUGGCACAAGGCUAGCAAUUUCCGAGGAGGGAGUAAAUCGACUACAUCGACCCCAGUACGCGACUUGUACUUAUUUUAUCGAACCCGAAAGGAUGAAAAGCAAAGUCGACUUCGACGGAAUUUGAACUCAGAACGUAAAGACAGACGAAAUGCCGCUAAGAAUUUAGCUCGGUGUCCUAACGGUUCUGCCUGCUGCCCGCUUUUGCUAUGCCCAAAACUGAACGUAUAUACAUAUUCAAAAAUUAGUAUCAGACUUUCCUCUGUAGUUUCAGACUUUUUUCUAUGCUUAAUAUUAAUUUCAAAUUUUGGCACAAUGCCAGCAAUUUCUGGUGAGUGGGUAUGUCGAUUACAUCGAUCCCGGUACGCGACUGUUACUUUUUUCAUCGACCCCGAAAGGAUGAAAGGUAAAGUCGACCUUGGAAGAAUUUGAAGUCAGAACGUAAAAACAGACGAACUGUCGCCAAGAAUUUUGCCCGCGGGCUUACGAUUCUGUCAGUACGCCGCCUUGGGUUUGGUUGUUAUUACUAGCAGUUUGAGUAUAGAGGCCAAGAUUAAUAAUGCAAGAAGGAUUAGGUGUCAAUAGUAUUAUUGUUGUUACUUAAUCUUAGGUCAGCUAUGUUUGGCGAGACAUAAUCACGAUUGCUCCAGAAGAGACCAUCACGUGUAUCUGGAGUUUCAUUAUCACCCCUCUUCUAAACAAAUAAUCAAGGACAACAGUAUGUAAUAUAUUCUUCCUUUUUGAGGGACAGUAUAUAAAUUAAUGGAAAUCUGGCUGUCAUUUUUAGCAGGCUGAGAGACAUGAGUCACCCAAAAUUAAUGUUAAAAGAAUUAACACAAAAGUGUCAGAAUAAUAUAUUUGCUGUUGUUGUUUUUUUGUUGUUGUCUAACUCUAGAUCAACCCUAGUUGGCUAGAAAAUAUGGAGGGACCAUUGUCUAUCUAGGAAUACAUUAUAUAAUGUGUUAUUCUUUUGUAAAAAAAGGUAAUCAAGAACAUAUUGUUAUGCAAUAUGUCAAUGGUUUUCAAGAAAUACAUUAUAAUUGAAGGCGAAUUUGGCUGUAACUUCUAGCCAACCAAGAAUAAUGCCAGAAGGAUUAACAGAAAAUCUGUCUGUCAGGAUAAAAUUGGUUUCAAAUUUUGAUACAAGACCAGCAUCUUAUGAGGAGGGGUAAGUCAAUUACAUCACCCUCAGAGCUCAACUGGUACUUAUUUUACCGACCUCGAAAGGAUGAAAGGCAAAGUCGACCUCGGCAGAAUUUGAACUCAGAACGUAGAAACAGACGCAAUGUCGCAAAGUAUUUUGCCCGACGUGCUAACAAUUCUGCCAGCUCGCCGUCUUGUCUGUCAGGAUAAUAUUGCUGCAAUUGUUGUGUAAUUCCAGAUUAAUGCUGGUUGAGCUGAAAAUAUUAUCAAAGUUAUUUCAUGAGAGACUGUCAAGUGUUUCUGGAAUUAUAUUAUCUAAUCUGUCUUUUCUUUUUAAAAAGGCAUGGUGUAACAUAAAGGAAAUUUGGCUGCUAUUUUUAUCAGGCUUAGACAUCAUUCAGAGUCUCCAUUGUGAUAUCGGGCCGGUAAUAUAAUCUUAUAAUGCAAACAGAAGUACAUUACUACCUACAGUAGACAGACAUGAUUGAAAAACAUCAAAGUGUGAAUAACAUUUAGUUCAGGGGAAUAUCAUUAUAAUAGGAGAGUGUAAAGACCAGCUCUCAGUAUAUAUAAAUAGAAUUAUAUUUGUAGAUUUAGUUUUGAUCUUAAUCACCAAUCUCCUCCGACUACAUGAACCAUAUAAAUGGUAUGAAACAAUAUUUAAAUGAAAAUCUAAAGAGCAGAUUCCAAGCACAGAACCCAAAAUUAGAUACGCACACAAAUACAUACGCAAACACAUUCUCAGACAUUGACACACAUAUACACACAAAUUAAUAUAAGUCUACAUACAUACAUACACUUAGACACAAAUAUACAGGAUAGGCCCAAAAAUCACGCACCAAUACAUGAUUACUAUUCGGCAUUUAGUCUGUCUGCGCGUUCUGACUUCAAAUUCCGCCGAAGUCAACUUUACCUGUCAUCUUUUCAGGGUCGAUAAAAUAAGUACCAGUUGAUUUAAUAGAAUCACCCACUUCCCCCAACUCGCUGGCCUUGUGCCAAAAUUUGAAAUCAUUAUCAUCAUUACUAUUUUCUCUUUAUCACGGGUUUUGUUGGAGCUCCUGGAGUCUUGUAUGCGUAGCUGGCUUACUACCUGCAAGCUACGGUACCAUGCUAUUCAUUCUUUUCAGCUAUCUAAUACUGUCUUGAUUAUUCUGGCUGUGGCAAGGAGACACACCUUUUGUAACAGUUCUUCUGGGCACUCUAUUCCAGUUACCUUUAUAUCCCUCUUGAUGCCUUCUGAUACUGUUCCCAGGGACCCAACAAUAAUUGGCACUAUUUUCACCUUUAUUUUUCAUAGCUGGGCUAUUUCGUACUCAAUUUUUUUUUCGUUUUCCUUCUUGACUAUUUGUGGGUCGAAGGGGCAUGCAACAUCAACUAUAUAGCAUAUGUGGUGCACCAUGUCCACCACCACUACGUCCGGUCUAUUAUGCUCUAGUACCUGAUCUGUUUGAAUUUGGAAAACCCAGAGGAUUUUGCUAGUCUCCGUCUUGCCUAUCUCUAACUCCCACUUUCCGCAAGUUUCCAGUGGAGCACUUUCGCUAUCUCGUCGUGUCGCCAAAACUUGUAAUGGUUUUGGGCAAGUCUAACGCAUUCGUUCGUGAUACGGGCAAUGGUUUCAUCCACUCUAUUGCAGAUGCGACACUGCGGAGACACUUGCUCAUUCCUUAGGUUGACCCUCCGGUUCGUGGCCAGAGCUUGGUCCUGCGUUCCCAGUAUAGGGCUAUUAUUAUUAUUACAAGCUGGACCCAUGAAAAAUUCACCGAAUAUAUUAAAAAUGUAAGUAUCUGUAAAUUGUGUGCUGAUGUCAUGAGAAAUGUAGAUUUUUCGGAACAAAUCGCCCAUGUACAAUCGCCUAAGAAAGCCUUCAUGGAUGACGUGACACUUCUAGCUACAGAUAAACAAAUCAUGCAGAAUGCCUUUUGAGAUUAGACGAACGUGUAAGGUGGUCAAGGAUGCGAUUUAGAGCAAAAAAGUCGCGUAGUCUGACAUUUGUUAAGGGAGUGCAGAAAGAAUUUAAAUUUCGAAUAUCGGAAGAAAGCAUUCCAACAGUCAAGGAAGAGCCCGUCAAGAGCUUGGGACGAGUAUACGCUGGAACAUUGUCAGAUAGAAGUCGUGGGAUUGAAAUUAUGAAACAGGCCGAGGCUGGUUAUCAGCGAUUGAUGUUUCGAAGUUACCAGGUAAAUAUAAAAUUUGGUGCUUGCAGUUCGGCCUGUACCCGCGACUUGCGUGGCCACUUUUAAUAUACGAAGUAGCAUUGUCACGAGUUGAAAAGAUCGAACAAAAAUGUAAUGUGUUCAUUAGAAAGUGGCUAGGUCUACCUCGUAUGUUGAACAGCUCAGCUCUUUAUCGUAAAAGAGGUUCGUUGCAGUUACCAAUAGCAUCAAUAGUCGAAAUAUAUAAGUUGGGGAAGAUACGGACGGUCAUGAUGCUGAGAGAAUCGAAGGAUAUGGAAAUCAGGCGUAACCCACCAGAGGUGAAAACAGCCAGGAAGUGGAAAGCAGAAGCAGAAACUGACAACAUCUUGUCUUCUCUUACACACAGAGAUAUGGUGGGAGCAACGCAGAACCAUCGGAAAGGAUUUGGUUUUGGCGCGGAUCAGUUCAGACCGUUUGCAAGCAUGAUGCCGUGUGAACGCAGAUCUGUUGUUAGCAACAGCGUCAAAACAAGAGAAGCAGAGAGAAGAGAGCUUCAUUUGAUCCGAUGUGUUCAUCAAGGUCAGAUGACGAGAUGGGAAGAACAUGUUGUUGAGAGGAAGAUAAGUUGGGAUGAGAUGUGGAAGUGGACAACAUCUCGGCUGAGUUUCCUGAUUCGUUCAUCUUAUGAUGUUUUGCCAUCACCUACGAAUCUAGUAAGAUGGAACGUCUUAGAGAAUGACGUCUGCAAAUGUGGAAAAGUCGGUACACUAAAACAUAUUCUUUCCAACUGUUCGUUAGCAUUGAACAGGUACACAUGGAUGCACAACUUGGUCCUUAAGGUUAUCUUCAAUGCUAUAAAGAAUCAAAUUCAUCUCAACAACACUGAGGAAAAAUCGUUAAAAGUACCAUCAAGAGAGUUCAUUACCUUCGUGCGACCAGGUCAGCAGAUCCGUUUCAAGAAGAAGACCAAGAAACUUCCUGAGAAAAAUGAAAAGUGGAACGACUAUUGGGAGGUAACUGCAGAUUUACCUGGGUGCCAGGUUUUCUUUCCCAUCCCAGUUUCGAAAAAACCAGAUAUUUUGAUGUGGUGUGAAAGAAAGAAAGUUUUAAAUAUAGUCGAGCUAACGGUUCCUCACGAAGAUAAUAUGGACGCCGCUCGAGCUCGAAAAUUAAACCGUUAUGAAAACCUCCUCGAGGAAUAUGAAGACGCAGGCUGGAAAGCGGAACAUUUUCCUAUCGAAGUCGGAUGUAGAGGGUUUGUAGGACACAGCGUGAGACGACUGUUGUUAUCGUUAGGCCUAACUCAUCGUAAAGUCAAUACCACCAUGACUGAUAUCCAAUCUACAGUGGAGAAGGCUAGCCAAUGGAUUUGGUUAAAAAGAGACGAUGAGCGAUGGCUAGAAGUAUAUUGAGUUCAUCAUAACCAGCUGAUCUAGCAAGCGGGGCCUCAUAUCAGUGAGGGGUCCGGUGCGCAUUGAUGCCGUCGAGAGGUAGGCCCCGAAACGGCGCGCAUUCUCUCCUGAUGACCCCAUACACUUGCUAGCUUCCGAUAUUUUAACUGGUAGCUUCCGAGCUUUUAACUGGUAGCACUUGCAUGUGCAAGUUGUUUGCAAGAUAUAUAUUGUGACAACUACAGAAUAUACAAAGAAGUAUAAAACCGAUAACUAUAUAACCCAACCAAGAUAUCUCAGUUACGCAAACGUAAACGGAAUUACUAUUUAGCCUGAAAAUGCAUCGCACAUAUUCAAAGAACGUUCUUGGUUUAGUGGUACGGAACAUUCUUCUGGUAUUCUUCUGGUAUUCACACACACACACACACACACAGUCAUUUGACGGUGGCCAUGCUGGAGCGCCACCCUUUAAUCGAAGAGAUCGACCCCUAGAUUCAUUCUCUGAAUACCUAGAGCUUCUUCUAUCAGUCUCUUCUGCCGAGCAGCUAAGUUACGGGACACAAACACACCAACAUUGGUUGUCAAACAUGGUGGUGGAUGACAAACACAGGCACACAGAAAUAUCACACAUACACACACACACACAUAUAUAUAUAUAUAUGUAUGUAUGUUUGUAUAUAUAUAUAUAUAUAUAUAUAUAUAUAUGUGACGGGCUUCUUUCAGUUUCCGUCUACCAAAUACACUCACGAGGAUUUGGUCGGCCCGAGACUAUAGUAGAAGACACCCUAAAUUAUCGAGUUGAAUUUCGUGUAGCAGCCACCUGUUGGCAACUUUUCUCCCCCAUCCAUUUAGUGGGAGAUAUCCAUUUUCUGGGCUCUUAUCACAGCUAUACACGUUCGAAAUUUGCAUAAGUUUUUGUAUGAAAACAAAAAAAAAAAAAAAAAGGAAAGGAGGUUACAUGCUUGUUUGUAGUUUGUAGAAAAAACUUUAAACGUGCCUGAAAAAAAAAACGUGGUCUUUCCCCACCAACUAAAAGACGAAGAACUAUGAAAGAAAGCGAAUAAAUACCAGGAAUGGGGUAAAGAAGAGAGAACUAGCAGUCGAUCGGUCUUGAACUCCCAGAAUAAAAACAUAAUCACCUGAAAGACUUUCCCUUUAUUCAUUACUGUCUUUCUUUCUUCUUCAUUGUUAAAAGUAAAGAAGCUAGAAAAGAUCGAUCGUAUUUCAGUCUAAUUGUCAUUGUAAAUGACUGAGGCGUUCCUGUCUCUAUCUCUGGUUCAAAUACCACAAAGUCGACUUUGCAUUUGAUCCUUUCAGGUUUGAUAAAAUAAGCACUAUUUGAGCGGUUGAUGUAUUCGACUUACCCAUCACUCCAAAAUUCGCUGAACUUAUGCCAAAAAUUGAAACCGUUAUCAAUUCCAAUAUCACUUAAUAACAGUUUUACGAUUUGAUGCAACUCAUUAAUAGUAGUUUUUGUAAUUGAAAUUAACCCUAAACAACUGAGACACAAUUUUAUUUUGUCGCUCAUUUUCAUAUCUAAUACACUCAUUUAAAUACUUUUUGCUAGCUAUAUCAGUUGAUUGAAAAGGAGAGCCAUUAGUAUUGGACGAAAUACUUAGUGGUAUUUCUACCGGUUUUAUAUUCUGAGUUCAAAUUCCGCAGAGAUAGAUUUUACCUUUCAUCCUGUCAGGUUUGAUAAAAUAAAUACUAGUUCAAUGCUAGGAUCGUUGUUAUCGAUUCACAUCUCCCCUUCAAUUGCCAGCCUUGCGCCAGUAUUUGAAACAAAUGAAUAUAAGUUAACGGGAAAGGCAACGAGCUAGCAGAGUCGUUAGCAUGUUGGACAAAAUACUUGGCAGAACUUACGUUCUGAGUUCAAACUUCGUUCGGGCCGACUUUGUCUUUCACUUUGUCUGGGUCAAUAAAAUAAGUACCAGUUGAGCACUGGGGCCGAUGCAAUCGAUUUACCACCAGCCAUUAAAUUCUGGCCUUGUGCCAAAAUCCUGAAACCAACAAAAUAUUAACUAACGGGAAAGGCCAUGAGCUGUCGGAAUCGUUAGCAUGUCGGACAAAAUCUUUAACGGUAUUUAUUCCGGCUUUAAGUUCUGUGUUGAAAUUUCGCAGAGGUUGACUUUGCCUUAAAUCCUUUUACGGUCAGUAAAAUAAGUACUAGUUGAGAUUUGGGUUCGAUGCAAUCCACUAUAGCUCUUUCUUUCACGAAAAUUUUCCAAGCUUUGUGCCCGUCGUUGAAAGGAAAAAAAAUAUUAGCUCAAAAUCACUGUUGAAUCAAACUAAAAUUGAUUACAUGUCUUCAAUUUGUUCUCUUCGUAACGAUGAAGCAAUAACAUAUUUACUAUGUGGCGUUCAUUUUGUUCUGUACUGUUGAUGAUAUAGAAAUGAAGGAUUUCUCUUCUUAGUAAGUUCUCCUAAAUAACCGACGCUACGAAUACUUACAAGGUAAGUUACAAACACCACUAAUAGCAGAUAAAAAUUGCGUUAUUGAGUUGCUAUAUAACUGUUUUAAGAGUUUCGUGUGAAUUUGAGUACAUUGCAGAAAUAUCUUUUGUGUUUAACAGAAGCUUACAUUGUUAAAUCAUUUUUGUCAGUGCACAUUGACAUAAAUCUCUAUUGCUAUCAUGUCUAAUUUCUCUCAGGCAAGUUGCAAAUUGUUGAAGUGAUGGCUAGGAAUUUUAAACUUUUUCUUGUUUUGAUCUCUAGCUUACCACGUAACUGAGUAACUUGCCUAUAAUUUCUGCAUCGGUUUAUUUUACUUCCGCACCUUAAUGUGGUCUCUAGAAAGUAAAGCCAAAUAUCCUUUAAUUCACACUCUACCGUAUUAAACAACGAGUAGUACAACGAAAAAAAACAAAACAAAAACAGUUCAUCUCGCUUUCUUUAAGAUAGCAUGUAUUACUAGAAUAACUUUGUUAAUAAAAAUGUGUCGCAAAAACACUGUCCAGGUUUAACCCUACAGGAAAUCUCUUACUAGUCGUCUUAUCAAUAGUACCUGUCUAUCAAUGUUGCUGUCAUUGACUUAAUCUUUCCGUAACACGAAUGUCAUUACAAAGUUAUUUAUUUAUAAUUAUUAAAAUACUCUGAGUUUGAAAUUAAUUUUAAGCAGCACUGAAAAUUUAUAUUAGAUUUAUAAAGAAAUCAGUUGAAAAUAUUAGCGCGUAUAUAUAUAUAUAUAUAUACUAUUUGAACAAUUCGUUCAGAUGUAAGACAAAUGGUAGCGCUGUUGAAACUAUUGUGCAUUGGGAUAAAUUAUCAAUAAUGUAAUUAAUUUCAACGAGAAGGAAAAGUUCGUCAAAUUUCCCGUUAGUGGCUCUUCUCAAUUUAUGCAUUUCAUUUAUUAGCUGCGUUGGUAAAUUGCUGCCUCAGGUUAUUUAAUCCAGUAGUAAUUAUGGUGCAUCUGUGAUUUGUUUUGCCAAUAUUGUGUGCAUAUAAUACAAUGCGUGUCAAAGUAAUUAAGAAAAUUGUGCCUAAGCGUAUAACAAAAUUUCUUCCGGUAUUUCGUAUCUAGCAGUAAACAGGCAUCUCGUUUUCAGGUCGCUAGUAAGAUAAUCUAUCUAUCUAUCUAUCUAUCUAUCUAUCUAUCUAUCUAUCUAUCUAUCUAUCUAUCUUUCUUUCUAUUUAUCUAUCUAUCUAUCUAUCUAUCUAUCUAUCUAUCUAUCUAUCUAUCUAUCUAUCUAUCUAUAUCUAUGUAUUAUUAUUAUUAUUAUUAUUAUUAUUAUUAUUAUUAUUAUUAUUAUUAUUUUUGUUGUUGUUGUUUCUGUUGUUGUUCAUAUAUAUAUGUAUAUAUAUUCUUUUAUUCUUUUAUUUCUUUCAGUCAUUUGACUGCGGCCAUGCUGGAACACCA